CAGCCGCCGCGGUAAUACAAGGGGGGCAAGCGUUGUUCGGAAUUAUUGGGCGUAAAGGGCGCGUAGGCGGUUUGGCAAGUUUGGUGUGAAAUCUUCGGGCUCAACUCGAAGUCUGCAUCGAAAACUGCCGGGCUUGAGUAUGGGAGAGGUGAGUGGAAUUUCCGGUGUAGCGGUGAAAUGCGUAGAUAUCGGAAGGAACACCUGUGGCGAAAGCGGCUCACUGGACCAUUACUGACGCUGAGGCGCGAAAGCUAGGGGAGCAAACAGGAUUAGAUACCCCUGUAGUCCCUGUCUCUUAUAC
rnacentral:rRNA from 1 species